UGAAUUCUGGAAUUCGAAGCCCAGCAGAGGGAGAAUCAGCUAACCGGGAGAGAAGCCACUGGAAGUAGCAUCAGCAGGCAUAGGAUGAUGGUAUAGAAGACUAUGAAAAGAGCUUAAGGAUUCAUCAUCACAAAUCUGCAUAUUGACAGGUUUUAUUUUUUAAUCAACCCAUACUGUUGUCAUAUUUCAUUUCUUAAUAAGAAACUGUUUGUGCUGCAGUUGCCAGUGGAAAAAGGGAAAGGCUUGGCUCACCAAGUGAGAGAGCGGAGUAAGUCAGCGACAGCUGAGAACACAAGGGACUAAAUCCAAAUGCUAGAGUAAACCCAUUCAAUUAGUGGGAUUUAUACACCCUAAAGGCAGUAGAGCUUGUCUACUGCAGGAUCAGCCCUGGUUAAUACUUGGAUGGGAGACCACCAAUGAAUACCAGGUGCUGUAGGCUAUAUUUUGGAGGAAGGAAUGGGCAAAACCACCUCCGAGGAUUUCUUGUCUAAGAAAAUCCUUUCAUGGGGUUGCCACAAGUUGAUGUGAAAGCACAUACAACACACAAAUAUAAGUGUUAGUUUACCAUUCAGCUAUUGUCUGAGCAGGUCAGCUCUAGUAGGGCUGAGAACGGGAUUUGGAAUUAUGUGCCCAUGACUACAAGUGGACCUUGGAUGGUCCAGUGUGGCCUUUAGAAGACCUACCCCUGAUCUCAGAACCCUCUCCAAACAUGCUUCAUCUUCAAGCUGAUCAAAUGCUUUAAAAUGUUCAAAUAGGAUGUCAGAGCUGUAGCUAUGGGGGCAGGUGGUGGUGGUGGAUGAGGGCAUUGGCCCGCAAUAAGAAUCCUCGCCCCCUAAAUGAAAUUUUAAUCCAGGUCCCCAAAUUUCAAGCAUUGCAGAAAAUGAGACAGUACUCACUCUAUUUGCUAUGUAUGCUUGGCUCCACUUCAAGACUCAGCCUCCAGGUACAUUAGCAAAACAAGAGUUUGAUAUGGACAAUAUGAAUUCAAAGUCCUGAUUGAGGACACAUGGUGGACACAUACUGGAGAACCAUUAAUGGCUGUUGUUUCCUCAGAUGGGUCUGAUGUAGCUGAAACUUUGCAUCUACCCUUCAUACUUUAACAAGUUUUAUCAAAAGGGUAAGCAA